rnacentral:rRNA from 1 species
AGCCAUGCCGCGUGAGGGAUGACGGCCCUAGGGGUUGUAAACUCUUUUUGUAUAGGAGGAAACCCCUCUACGUGUAAGGGGUUGACGGUACUAUACGAAUAGGCACCGGCUAACUCCGUGCCAGCAGCCGCGGUAAUACGGAGGGUCCGAGCGUUAUCCGGAAUUAUUGGGUUUAAAGGGUGCGUAGGGGGAAAUUUAAGUCAGUGGUGAAAGCCUGCAGCUUAACUGUAGAAUUGCCAUUGAUACUGGGUUUCUUGAAUCUAAUUGAAGUAGGCGGAAUAUGACAUGUAGCGGUGAAAUGCUUAGAUAUGACAUAGAAUACCGAUUGCGAAGGCAGCUUACUAUGUUAGUAUUGACGCUGAUGCACGAAAGCGUGGGGCGCGAACAGGAUUAGAUACCCUGGUAGUCCACGCCGUAAACGAUGAUUACUCGCUGUUGG